AAUCCUCAUGGUGUACGCGUUGAAAAGUAAGAGGUCACAGGAUAGACACAGGAACGAUCUCGGAGAGUUUCACUGAGAGAGUGCAGCGGUAUAGUACGGAGCACGAUCCUUUAUAACUUACACUGCCUUCAGGAACGAUUUUGUUUAUAGUGGGGACCGACGAUGGCUAGUUUACGUGGAACGACCCGCAAAUUAGAUUCCUCGGGCGGCACGAUGACAUGGCCAUUGCCAAACUGGUGAACGCCUGACAUUGCCAAAUUGUAUAAGUAUGCGGAGGGAGAGUGCUUAAACGUAACUGUUGCAUUAUUGUAGUAAACGUGUGACGUUCAACCGGUACCCAGGCGUCCGGUCCGCCUGGUUUUAUGUGUAGCAUGUCCAAUUUGAAAGUUGAUUAUUUCCUUAAGGCAAUCAGAACAAUUUAUACUGGCAUCGGAUUUUAAAAAUUGAGGUAAAUGUAAUUAUGCAUAUACUUGUCAGAAUGAUAGAUAAAUGUUUACUUUAGGGGAGUCAUCUUCGAUUUUUAUAUGAAGUCGAAAUAUAUUAUCAGGUACAUGAUUUUGAUUGACUUUUAUCUAGAUCAUGAAUGUAAACUAAGUCGAGGACAUGAUUUUGCUUGACUUCUUUAGAAAAUAAAAUUCAGAAAAGUACCUACGACUACAUAUGUUGGGUACUUUAAUGUGCUAAUUGCGAAUGUAACUAUAAAAAUAUCAAAUAUCAAUUUUAUUAAAUAUUGAAAAUUAAUUCACUAAAUUUUUCUUAAACUAUGUGUAUUGUUUUAUAAUUUUCGAAAUGCAUCCUUGCAAAGGGGGUCGUUCUCCGUUGAGAGCUAAUACGAUACUUUAUUCAAUUUAAAAAAUGCGGUUCGACAGUCCUUCAAUUUAUGACAAGACGUUUUGAGUGCAAAGACAAUAGUAUAUCCGGAUUCCUUUUAAAAAACAGAGCCGAUCGAUGUACUAUGUAUAAGGUACAAAAUCUAAACAGUCUAAUAGAGUGUUCACAUUUACCGUAAGGACCAUAACAAUGAAAAAAUUUUGAAUACCAUUCGCUUUUAGGGUCGAAAGACGCCUCCGCCGUAAAAUACAAUUUCGGCAAGGCAACUUUUAAUUUUAACAGCCCGACAUCCAACCGUGACUCGAGAUCUGAAUGGCGAUACUUUCUUGCCUGCAGGCAUCUUUAUUUUCUUCUUUUUUAUCACCUUGACUGAGUAAUAUUUUUUGUUCAGAGUUGAACAUGAUAAAAAAGUUGCAAGAUCGAAGAUACGCCUUUUUUAGUGUUGGAUAAAGAAAAUCUUAGGCUCCCUUGAAGUGUAAGAAAGAAGGGAUAUAGAUUCCAUUUUUUAAAUGAAGAACGAAGUAGUUUUAUGUAGUACCCAAUCAAAUGAAUAACUUUUCUUUUAAUUAUUUUUCGAGAUUUCCUAUGUAUAAAGAAUUAUAAUACUUUUUCCGAUCAUCGACCGUGUAAUUUAAGUAUUUCUAUGUGUAAAUAAUAAACAUGAUUUCUUCGGUAGUGCUAAUAUCAAAUAAUCCGAUUUCUUUGUAGAUAUCAGGAGCUGUUAAUGUAGGAUCCUUCUUGGAUUUCCGAAUAAUUCUACAAUUUAUAAUGCGACCUGCAUAGAAAAUUAAAUUUAGAAAGAAAUUAAAUCACUGUGAUAUGCAUUUUUCAUUCUGUUUUAUACAUCGUAUGUAGUUUUCGUUUUCUUGCAAUCGAAUAUCCGCUAUGAAAACAUUAAAUUCACACUUAAUUAGUAAGAAAUCUAAACGUGUUCUGUAGAAUAUCUCUGAAACAUCAUUUUAAUUAUUUCAACAUUUUCUAACCGUGAAUGAACUGGUUCGACGUGUUGCGACGCGUACACUCUAGCCGUCGUCUUAAAACUUUCCUACGAGGGGAAAGUUCUUUUCACGAGACAGUUUUCGCGUCCACAGCUGCAAGAGUCGAUUUACAAUUUCAUUCGAUAUCUUUGUUUCCUUCUCUUCACCGGAGUACGUCUGGCAUUACAUAAAUUUCCGAGAAACAAUUUGUUUCAUAAUAAUCUUUUAAAAUAUACGAUUACUCAUGAAAAGAUAUAAGUCUCUUCGAACGAGAUCACGUUCAUUAUUAAUUAACUGUAAGUUUCGUCUCGCUUCUUUAAAUGAAUAUCGUACAUAUUUUUACCAGAUUAAUCCCAAAGGGGAAAAAUCAGAAAAAUCCCAAAAGGUGUAAUAAAGGGAAUAAAGUUUGAAGAAGAAGAAGAAGAAAGAAGAGAAACUAAGAGUGAAAUUUUAAUUAAAAUAAUUUUCAUAGUUAAGCAGUACACUAAAUACUUUAAAUAAAUAUUAGAACUAAGUAUUCUGAAUGACUUACUUAGUACUAAGAACUAAGUGCUUAGUAUAGUACUUAUUGUGAGUAUAAGUACUAUUUGUAAGUAUGACAUUUCACAUAGAACAUGUACCCCAGAAACUUUCGGAUCAGAUUAAUUAGACAUGAAUUUAGUAUUUUUAUCACAAAUCAUUUGUUUGUUAAUCGACUGGCGUUUUGUCAUCGAGUUUGCAUGAAAUUCUACUAAUGUUGGGUCACAAGCGCUUGCAUCAAUCAUUCAACGGUUUCAAUGAUAAAUUCCAGCAAGCGUACACACAAACAAUUCGAUUACUUCAUUCAACUAUAGUCUGCAGUGUUGAAAGCAGUACGGCCCUACAGUGGCACAUUUUACGUGACUCGUUUAGAGACAAGAAAAUCGACAUCAAUAACUAAUCACGUAUUACCAGUUACUUUUCAGCUUCCAACUAAUAAUAUCCUCACGCAAUUAUUGUACGAAAAUCAGAGUGUAAUUCAGUUCUUUCCAUUAAUAUUUAUGUGAUAUCGGGGGAAGUACCCUUAAGAACCAUUUCCAUUUACAGUGUGCCGUCAGCGUUCAACGGGGAGCAAAAGCAGUACCGAAGUGAAAAGUACGAGACAUGCGCAAAAACAUGUAAAAGCUCGGUACCCCAAAGAAGCCCGCUGAUUUCUGCGGAAUAAAUGGCCAAGUGCGCAGAUCAUACCGGUUGCUGUUUGGCUUCAAGUAAGGAGCUGAUCGCUGCCCGCUGUCAUUACAAUAGAGCGGCAGAUAGAAGCAUUUAGAAGCAUUUGAAAGCAUCAUUGGUGCUUAUUGGAAAUAAACUGAUCUGAAUAGUUAUAAUACCGCCCUCUAUAAUACACGAUCCGAAAUCACAAAUGGCGCGGAAAACAUUUAUUCUGUGCGGCCUAGAGAAAGGCCCUACCGUCACCUUCUACCAGUAAAUUGGCUCGAUACCCCUCUGGCGAACCUCCACAGGGGAAGAGCACCAGGGUUCGUAUAAUUUGUCGCUCGGCCGGAAAGUGGGGACGACGCGACCAUGGUGGGGACUGGUACUUGAUGGUGGUAUGUUAGGCAUGGUCAGCGAAGGCGCCUGGGGAGAAUAGUAGUGGGAAUCGAAAUAUGGGCGAAAAAGAUGGGAAGCGAGCCGUGUGCGACAAAUUAUACGAACCCUGAAGAGCACGCGACGUCACGCUGUCCCCACUAUCACUGCUAGGUCCCACUCCAAGUUCUUAGACCGUAUCUAUGUAAACUGGUACGGCGCGUGCAAUAGUAACCUAAAUCAGGCAUCGUAAUUCUGAUUAAUAAAUUAAUGAAAAUGAAAUUCGGCAUUUUUAUUUCGCUA